AUUGAACGCUGGCGGCAGGCCUAACACAUGCAAGUCGAACGAGUGGCGGACGGGUGAGUAAUGUCUGGGAAACUGCCCGAUGGUGGGGGAUAACUAUUGGAACGGUAGCUAAUACCGCAUACCAUGGGGUGUGCCCAGAUGGGCUGGGCUAGUGGGUGGGGUAACGGCUCCCCUAGGCGACGAUCCCUGUAUGGUCGGAGAGGGUGACCAGCCACACUGGAACUGAGACACGGUCCAGACUCCUACGGGAGGCAGCAGUGGGGAAUAUUGGGCAAUGGGCGAAAGCCUGAUACAGCCAUGCCGCGUGUGUGAAGGAGGUCUUCGGAUUGUAAAGCACUUUAAGUUGGGAGGCGUUACCAACAGAAUAAGCACCGGCUAACUUCGUGCCAGCAGCCGCGGUAAUUC
rnacentral:rRNA from 1 species